AACAAACGCUGGCGGCGUGCCUAACACAUGCAAGUCGUACGAGAAAGUCGGCUUCGGCCGAUGAGUACAGUGGCGCACGGGUGAGUAGCGCGUGGGUAAUCUGCCCCCCGGUCAGGAAUAACCCGCCGAAAGGCGGGCUAAUACCCGAUAACACUGACGCUCCGCGGAGCGUCUUUCAAAGAAGGCCUCUGUUUACAAGCUUUCGCCGGAGGAUGAGCCCGCGUACCAUUAGCUAGUUGGCAGGGUAAUGGCCUACCAAGGCUACGAUGGUUAGCUGGUCUGAGAGGAUGGCCAGCCACACUGGAACUGAGACACGGUCCAGACUCCUACGGGAGGCAGCAGUGAGGAAUCUUGCGCAAUGGGGGAAACCCUGACGCAGCAACGCCGCGUGAGUGAGGAAGGCCUUCGGGUCGUAAAGCUCUGUCAGAUGGGAAGAAAUGGAUGGGGGCUAAUAUCGCCCAUCCUUGACGGUACCAUCAGAGGAAGCACCGGCUAACCCCGUG
rnacentral:rRNA from 1 species